GCCAGACUCCUACGGGAGGCAGCAGUGGGGAAUCUUCCGCAAUGGGCGAAAGCCUGACGGAGCAACGCCGCGUGAUCGAAUGAAGGCCUUCGGGUUGUAAAGAUCUGUUGACAGGGACGAAUAAGCAAUGCGAAUAGUUUUGUGUAUGACGGUACCUGUCUAGAAAGCUCCGGCUAACUACGUGCCAGCAGCCGCGGUAAUACGUAGGGAGCAAGCGUUGUCCGGAAUUACUGGGUGUAAAGGGAGCGUAGGCGGGGAUGCAAGUUGGGUGUCAAAACUACCGGCUCAACCGAUAGUCGCACUCAAAACUGAAGCUCUUGAGUGAAGUAGAGGCAGGCGGAAUUCCUAGUGUAGCGGUGAAAUGCGUAGAUAUUAGGAGGAACACCAGUGGCGAAGGCGGCCUGCUGGGCUUUUACUGACGCUGAGGCUCGAAAGUGUGGGGAGCAAACAGGAUUAGAUACCCGAGUAGC
rnacentral:rRNA from 1 species